UGAGAUUUAUCCUGUCAGGACGAACGCUGGCGGCGUGCCUAAUACAUGCAAGUCGAGCGGAAAUUUUAUUGGUGCUUGCACCUUUAAAAUUUUAGCGGCGGACGGGUGAGUAACACGUGGGUAACCUACCUUAUAGAUUGGGAUAACUCCGGGAAACCGGGGCUAAUACCGAAUAAUACUUUUUAACACAUGUUUUGAAGUUGAAAGACGGUUUCGGCUGUCACUAUAAGAUGGACCCGCGGCGCAUUAGCUAGUUGGUGAGGUAACGGCUCACCAAGGCAACGAUGCGUAGCCGACCUGAGAGGGUGAUCGGCCACACUGGGACUGAGACACGGCCCAGACUCCUACGGGAGGCAGCAGUAGGGAAUCUUCCACAAUGGACGAAAGUCUGAUGGAGCAACGCCGCGUGAGUGAAGAAGGAUUUCGGUUCGUAAAACUCUGUUGCAAGGGAAGAACAAGUA
rnacentral:rRNA from 1 species